GGCCGGGCCUGGCAGGCGCGCGCCCGGUUUACGGGACCGCGGGGGCGCGAGAGCGCGACCAGGUAGCGUCGCGCACGGGAACUGCGGCCGCCUGUUUUCCCUGAACCGUCGGUGUUCCCGCAGGAGCUUGGCGCAGGCUAAUUUUAGAAAAUGCCAAGUAGGAAAUUUGCCGAUGGUGAAGUGGUAAGAGGCCGAUGGCCUGGGAGUUCUCUGUAUUAUGAAGUAGAAAUUCUGAGCCACGACAGCACCUCCCAGCUUUACACUGUAAAGUAUAAAGAUGGAACAGAACUUGAAUUGAAAGAGAAUGAUAUUAAGCCUUUAACUUCCUUUAGGCAAAGGAAAAGUGGCUCAACUUCCAGUUCCCCUUCCAGACGCCGAGGGAAUAGAUCAAGGUCACGCUCCCGAUCCCCUGGUCGUCGACCACCUAAAGAUGCCCGCCGAUCUGCUUCUGCUUCCCACCAGGCUGACAUUAAGGAAGCAAGGAGGGAAGUGGAAGUUAAAUUGACUCCGCUGGUUCUGAAGCCAUUUGGAAAUAGCAUCAGCAGAUAUAAUGGGGAGCCCGAGCACAUUGAGAGGAAUGACGUACCUCAUAAAAAUACACAGGAAAAAUUCAAUUUGUUACAAGAAAGCAGUUACAUAUCUACACAGUAUAGCCUUCGUCCAAGAAGAGAAGAGAUCAGAUUAAAAGAAAUGGAUUCUAAGGAAGAAAAAUUUGUUACAAAAGAACUGGCAGUGAGAACCUUUGAAGUGACCCCUAUCCGAGCAAAGGACUUGGAGUUUGGAGGAGUACCUGGUGUGCUUCUCAUCAUGUUUGGCCUGCCUGUAUUCCUCUUCCUGUUGCUGUUGAUGUGUAAACAAAAAGAUCCCAGUCUUCUGAAUUUCCCUCCUCCUUUGCCAGCUUUAUAUGAGUUAUGGGAAACCAGAGUAUUUGGGGUCUGCCUCCUGUGGUUUCUGAUUCAAGCCCUCUUCUACCUACUACCAAUUGGAAAGGUUGUAGAAGGAACGCCUCUUAUUGAUGGAAGAAGACUCAAGUAUAGAUUAAAUGGAUUCUAUGCUUUUAUCCUGACAUCUGCAAUCAUCGGAACAUGUCUCUUCCAGGGCGUAGAGUUUCAUUAUGUGUACAGACAUUUUCUUCAGUUUACACUUGCAGCCACUGUGUUUUGUGUGGUCUUGAGUGUGUAUCUCUACAUGCGCUCUUUGAAAGUGCCCCGGAAGGACCUGUCGCCUGCUAGCUCUGGAAAUGCUGUCUAUGAUUUCUUCAUUGGCCGUGAAUUAAACCCUCGAAUUGGUACUUUUGAUCUCAAAUACUUUUGUGAAUUGCGCCCCGGAUUGAUCGGAUGGGUGGUUAUUAACUUGGUGAUGCUUUUGGCUGAAAUGAAAAUACAGAGCCGCGCUGUUCCAUCCUUGGCCAUGAUUUUGGUUAACAGUUUCCAGCUUCUCUAUGUGGUGGAUGCUCUCUGGAACGAGGAAGCAGUGUUGACGACCAUGGACAUCAUCCACGAUGGAUUUGGAUUCAUGCUGGCUUUUGGAGACUUAGUGUGGGUUCCAUUUAUUUACAGCUUCCAAGCCUUUUACUUAGUCAGUCAUCCAAAUGAAGUAUCUUGGCCAAUGGCUUCUCUAAUGAUUGUUCUGAAACUUUGUGGUUAUGUAAUCUUCCGAGGUGCAAAUUCUCAGAAAAAUGCAUUCCGGAAAAAUCCCAGUGAUCCAAAGCUUGCACAUUUAAAAACCAUUCAUACUUCAACGGGAAAAAAUCUUCUAGUUUCUGGAUGGUGGGGCUUUGUUCGACACCCCAAUUACUUGGGUGAUCUCAUCAUGGCCCUGGCGUGGUCCCUCCCAUGUGGUUUUAAUCACAUUCUGCCUUAUUUCUACGUGGUUUAUUUCACCAUGUUGCUUGUCCACCGAGAAGCUCGUGACGAGUACCAGUGAUCAUCUGUUUGGGACCCCUGGACAACUGCUGUUUAUUUCAAGACUCAGAAUGUUGGAGCUGAAAGAGCAAUGCAACCCGCAUUGUGAUCCAGUGACUAGGAGGUUUCUUCAUUGGUAAGUACACUGAUAUUAAAAAGUUUGUUGGCAAACUAGUAGUUGCCAAAAUUCUUGACCUCUCAGGUGUCUGGUAAACUGGGCAUUCAAAAGUAUAGAGUUUUGAAUCUGUCAUCUGGCUAGAAGCAUUUAGUGUUUUGGUAGAAAUCUUAAAAAAAAAAAUCCAGUAGUCAAAUUGCAUAGUUGAAGUGAAUCAGUGGCUCACAUUUUCUAUAUGCUAGGCUUGGGCAAUUUGUUAUGAAUUAGAUACAGUAGAAGUUAAAUGAUUAAUGUAACAGCAUGUGGAAAUUAUACGUGGAUAAUAUAAAGAGUAAUUAUUAUGGCUUUACAGUACAUAUUCUUCAGAACAUGGGAUGUAAGUAGGCAUCUACUUUAAAUUUUAGUAAUAUUUUGGGUGAUCUAAAAUCUUUGUUGUUUGAGUAUAUUAUCACAUCUCCCUUGUCAAGUUGUAGGGAAUGGGAAUAAGAGUGCUUUGUAUAUUACUGAGGGUGGUUUGUAUAUUACUGAGCUCAGGUUUAGGACUUCAUAGUAACAGCAGGGUGGUUACCUUUGUUGGCAAAAAGUAUAUGUCGGGAAAAUCACAGCACAUCUCCAGAGGCAGCAAGUCUUCCAGUAUUUUUUGUUCGUGAUUCCAUCUUGCCCCCUCAAUGAAUAAACUGAAAAUGUAAACUCCAGUGUGAGAGGAGUCUAAGCCCUACGAUGGAAGAGAGGUGGUGUCAGGGGUCCCCAGGAGAAGCAGCGACCAACUGGAGACUCCAUCUGGAGCCGAGACGACCCAUCCGGAGGGGCUUCUCCUGCCCAAGGCAUGUUGCCCAAAGUUUUAAGGUGAAUACUUAAUACUUUUUUCCCUAUUCUGAGUGCUUUAAAAAGUGUAGGCUUUCUAUCUAUAGAAUCAAUCUGAACUGAAAUACAUGUAUUUUUUUCAUCAUGCCCCUCCUCAACAUGAAGACAAAUACUUUCAAACACAAUAAAGAUGCAAAUUUCUACAACUGUAAUCUUGUAACUGAGCUUUCUAGGAGAGAGCGAGAACAGUUACAAAAGGAGACAGAGUACACUGUGCUCAAAUGUUGUCACUUACCUCUGCCGUAGUGGCCACAGCUAUCGUUUUAGGCUCUAGAAAUUUAAAAAAGGCUGAGAAGGGUUUUACAUAUCUAUAUCUAUACAGACACAUACACACAUUAUCUGUCUGUCUAUCAUCUAUCAUCCAUCCAUCCAUCCAUCCAUCCAUCCAUCCAUCCGUGAGAGAGAGGGUGAGUGAGGGAGACUUCAUCUGUCGUCCAGGCUGGAGUGCAGUGGUGUGAUCUUGGCUCUCUGCUUCCUGGGUUACAGCAAUUCUUCUUCCUAAGCCACCUGAGUAACUGGGAUUACAGACAUGCGCCACCAUGCCUGCCUAAUUUUUUGUAUUUUUAGUAGAGAUGGGGUUUCAUCAUGUUGGGCAGCUGGUCUUGAAUUCCUGACCUCAAGUGAUCUGUUCCCUUCGGCCUCCCAAAGUGCUGGGCUUACAGGUAUGAGCCACCACACCUGGCCAGGUUCCAUAUAUUUUUGAAUGAUACAGGUUAAAUAGAUGAUUAAAUUUUAAUGGCAGAAGGUUAAGUAAAAUGAGUUUCUGAUGAGAUCUGUGAAGUAGAAAAUUUAGUUACCUGCAGCUCCCAUUCCAGGUGACUCCAGGUGUACCUGAGGCAAGUCUGUGAAAUCAAUGUCUCCUGCAGGGGUGCUGUAGGGAUGCCCAGCCUGGAGGAAAUGGCAGCCAAGUACCAGGCCACCCGGGGCAAGUCUCUGAAGAGGAGGUAUGGGCACUGCUGUCCUGAGCUUCCCCUCGCAGUCUGGGCUAGCUUGUUGACAAGGGCAGCGGUGUGGAACAGCCUGUGCUGUGCGUGGUGGCACCUUCUGUGCUGUUCACUCUGUGGAAUGUGACUACCUGGAGGUGUAAGGUGAACUCAUAUUAAGCACUUCCUAUUUAGGCUUACUCUAUAAAAGACUUUUAUGGGAAUUGGUUUGUAUAAUAUUUUUACUUCUCUUCCUCUUAACUUACAUAAAUGCAAGGUUUCCUGCACUGCAUUUGUUCUAGUGUUGUCUUUUCCUGACAAUCUUAGAAGAAGUUAAUCUAAUGCAUUUGACAGUGUGGCAUCCAUUUAUACUUGUAUAACUUGGUCAUAGCAUACAUGGGUUUUUCCUCUGAAAAACCUAAAUUGUAGGUAAUUUUUAAACAGCCCCUUUUGGAAUGAUUUGACUCAAAGAGCCACUCAGAACAAAUGGAAGUAAUAUUAAUUCAACUACGUGGAAGCUGCUUCUUUGUAUAAAGCAGAAAUAACUGAGAGCAUCAUCUCAGUUAUUUCUGCUUUAUACAGAUUAGACAGAGUCAAAAAGCAAAGUUAGGCGGGCAGUCCAUACCCUUGCUCUCCCUCUGUGAGUCAUAAGGCCUUUGUGCACCUCAGCCUGGUCAGCAAGAGUAAAACUCUCUCUCUCAAAAAAAAAAAAAAAAAAAAAGGGGGGCACUUUACCA